UACGGAGGGAGCAAGCGUUACUCGGAAUUAUUGGGCGUAAAGGGCGCGUAGGCGAUUUGAAAAGUCUUGUGUGAAAGCCCGGGCUUAACCCGGGAAGUGCACAAGAAACUGUUGAAUUUGAGUCCGGAGAGGAAGGCAGAAUUCCCGGUGUAGCGGUGAAAUGCGUAGAUAUCGGGAGGAAUACCAGUGGCGAAGGCGGAGCC
rnacentral:rRNA from 1 species